UACGUAGGGACCGAGCGUUGUCCGGAAUCAUUGGGCGUAAAGAGCGUGUAGGCGGCCAACUAAGUCCUGCGUGAAAUCUCGGGGCUCAACCCCGAGCGGUCGUGGGAAACUGGUUGGCUAGAGUGCGGGAGAGGAGAGUGGAAUUCCUGGUGUAGCGGUGAAAUGCGCAGAUAUCAGGAGGAACACCGAUGGCGAAGGCGGGUCUCUGGGCAUUUCCUGACGCUGAGGCGCGAAAGCGUGGGGAGCAAACGGG
rnacentral:rRNA from 1 species